rnacentral:rRNA from 1 species
GCAAUACGGCAGCGGCAGACGGGAGAGUAACACGUGGGAACGUACCCUUCAGUUCGGAACAACCCAGGGAAACUUGGGCUAAUACCGGAUACGCCCUUACGGGGAAAGAUUUAUCGCUGAAGGAUCGGCCCGCGUCUGAUUAGCUAGUUGGUGGGGUAACGGCCCACCAAGGCUACGAUCAGUAGCUGGUCUGAGAGGAUGAUCAGCCUCACUGGGACUGAGACACGGCCCAGACUCCUACGGGAGGCAGCAGUGGGGAAUAUUGGACAAUGGGCGCAAGCCUGAUCCAGCCAUGCCGCGUGGGUGAUGAAGGCCUUAGGG